rnacentral:rRNA from 1 species
AUACGGAGGGUGCAAGCGUUAAUCGGAAUUACUGGGCGUAAAGCGCGCGUAGGCGGAUAUUUAAGUCUCAUGUGAAAGCCCUGGGCUCAACCUGGGAACUGCAUGGGAUUCUGGGUAUCUAGAAUACAGUAGAGGGUAGUGGAAUUUCAGGUGUAGCGGUGAAAUGCGUAGAGAUCUGAAGGAACAUCAGUGGCGAAGGCGACUACCUGGACUGAUAUUGACGCUGAGGUGCGAAAGCGUGGGGAGCAAACGGGAUUAGAAACCCUUGUAGUCC